rnacentral:lncRNA from 1 species
GAUAUUGUGAUGACCCAGACUCCACUCUCUCUGUCCGUCACCCCUGGACAGCCGGCCUCCAUCUCCUGCAAGUCUAGUCAGAGCCUCCUGCAUAGUGAUGGAAAGACCUAUUUGUAUUGGUACCUGCAGAAGCCAGGCCAGCCUCCACAGCUCCUGAUCUAUGAAGUUUCCAACCGGUUCUCUGGAGUGCCAGAUAGGUUCAGUGGCAGCGGGUCAGGGACAGAUUUCACACUGAAAAUCAGCCGGGUGGAGGCUGAGGAUGUUGGGGUUUAUUACUGCAUGCAAAGUAUACAGCUUCCUC